CGCCUCCCUCCGCCGCCACUCAGACUCCGUACGGGGCGAGACAGUGGGGAAGGUAAUUGGUACGAAAUAGGGCGGCGAAGACCUCGAUCCACGCAAUAGCCGCCGUGUGUGAGAAGGACCGUUCCGGGUUUGGUUAAAGACACUUUAUUCAGGAAGGCGAAAGUAAACUAACCCGGUUUAAACGUUAAACCGGUUACGGGGGCGGUGACGGGUAACCCGUCGAGGGAAUAAGCACCGGCUAACUUCGUGCCAGCAGCCGCGGUAAUA
rnacentral:rRNA from 1 species